rnacentral:lncRNA from 1 species
CCAAGUCUCGGUGCUGAAUCUUCCUGUUCUGUGCCCUUUGUGUCCUCACAGUUCCUGGUGGAGAACAGAUGUGCGGUCAAUGGACAGACCACAGGGCUGGCUGGAGCUUUAGGAUAAGACUUCACUACCAAUGCAGCAGUAUGGAGCGUGGAACCUAACAAAAGUUGGCUAGGUCAUUAGGGCAAGAUAAAUUAAUUAAUAGAUG